GGAAGUGUGGCCGAGCGGUCGAAGGCACCGGUCUUGAAAACCGGCGAUCCGAAAGGGUUCCAGAGUUCGAAUCUCUGCGCUUCCGCCA
rnacentral:tRNA from 1 species